UCCCAGGUAAAGACGCCGGACUGACUC
rnacentral:sRNA from 1 species